GAUGAAGAACGUAGCGAACUGCGAUAAGUAAUGUGAAUUGCAGAAUUCAGUGAAUCAUCGAGUCUUUGAACGCACAUUGCGCCCCCUGGCAUUCCGGGGGGCAUGCCUGUCCGAGCGUCAUUGCUGCCCUUCAAGCCCGGCUUGUGUGUUGGGUCGUCGUCCCCCCCGGGGGACGGGCCCGAAAGGCAGCGGCGGCACCGCGUCCGGUCCUCGAGCGUAUGGGGCUUUGUCACCCGCUCGAUUAGGGCCGGCCGGGCGCCAGCCGGCGUCUCCAACCUUCUAUUUUCCCAGGUUGACCUCGGAUCAGGUAGGGAUACCCGCUGAACUUAAGCAUAUCAAUAAGCGGAGA
rnacentral:misc_RNA from 1 species